rnacentral:rRNA from 1 species
AAAAUCCGCUCUUUAAUCUGAAGACGUGAUGUGGACUGAAAAUAAGUAGGGAAGCACGUGAGCUGACUGUCAAGAAAAGCCGCUAUUGUUUGCAGGAUACCCGUACCGUAAACCGACACAGGUGGAUGAGGAGAGAAUCCUAAGGCCGACGGGAGAAGCAUUGUUAAGGAACUCGGCAAAAUGACUCCGUAACUUCGGGAGAAGGAGUGCCAGUAAGAUGGCCGCAGAGAAUUGGCCCAAGCAACUGUUUAGCAAAAACACAGGUCUAUGCAAAACCGAAAGGUGAGGUAUAUGGGCUGACGCCUGCCCGGCGCUGGAAGGUUAAGGGGAGAGGUUAGCGCAAGCGAAGCUUUGAACUUAAGCCCCAGUAAACGGCGGCCGUAACAAUAACGGUCCUAAGGUAGCGAAAUUCCUUGUCGGGUAAGUUCCGACCCGCACGAAAGGCGUAAUGAUUUGGGCACUGUCUCAACAAUGCACCCGGUGAAAUUGAAAUACCAGUGAAGAUGCUGGUUACCUGCGCCAGGACGGAAAGACCCCAUGGAGCUUUACUCCAGCUUGAUACUGGGAUUCGGUAUUGCAUGUACAGGAUAGGUGGGAGGCUAGGAAAUGGUAACGCCAGUUGCCAUGGAGCCAAUGUUGGGAUACCACCCUUGCAGUACUGGGUUUCUAACCAGCAGCCGUGAUCCGGCUGGGGGACAAUGUCAGGUGGGGAGUUUGACUGGGGCGGUCGCCUCCGAAAGGGUAUCGGAGGCGCUCAAAGGUUCCCUCAGAAUGGUUGGAAACCAUUCGAAGAGUGCAAAGGCAGAAGGGAGCUUGACUGCGACACCGACGGGUGGAGCAGGUACGAAAGUAGGACUUAGUGAUCCGGUGGUAUAAAGUGGGAUUGCCAUCGCUCAACGGAUAAAAGCUACCCUGGGAUAACAGGCUUAUCACUCCCAAGAGUUCACAUCGACGGAGUGGUUUGGCACCUCGAUGUCGGCUCAUCGCAUCCUGGGGCUGAAGUAGGUCCCAAGGGUUGGGCUGUUCGCCCAUUAAAGCGGUACGCGAGCUGGGUUCAGAACGUCGUGAGACAGUUCGGUCCCUAUCCGGCGUGGGCGUAAGAUAUUUGAGAGGAGCUGUCCUUAGUACGAGAGGACCGGGAUGGACUGGCCGCUGGUGUAUCUGUUGUCUUACCAAAGGCAUAGCAGAGUAGCCAAGCCGGGAAGGGAUAAACGCUGAAGGCAUCUAAGCGUGAAGCCCCCCUCAAGAUGAGAUAUCUCAUAACGUCAAGUUAGUAAGACCCCUUGAAGACGACGAGGUAGAUAGGGCAGAGGUGGAAGUGUGGUAACACAUGGAGCUGACUGUUACUAAUAGGUCGAGGGCAUAACCAA